rnacentral:tRNA from 1 species
GCCAAAAUAGCUCAGUUACGAGAGCGUUAGUCUAUAUAGAUCGAAAGGUCCCGGGUUCGAUCCCGGUUUUCGUC